CUUCCAUUUCUAAUGACCAGAGGCCUGAGCUAGGAGAGCCUCAUGCCUGCUGUGACCUGCCAUGGAUACCUGGCUCCUGUGCUGGGUGGUUUUUAGCCUCUUGAAAACAGGUCACACAGAACCUGGAGUCACUCAGACCCCUAGCCAUCAGGUCACAAGGAUGGGACACAAAGUUGUCUUAGAGUGUGACCCUGUUUCUGGUCACUUAUACUUCUACUGGUACAGACAGAUCUUGGGGCAGAAAAUGGAGUUUAUUGUAUCCUUCUAUGAUAAGCCCAUGGAGAAGUCUGAAAUAUAUAAAGAGGAUCGAUUCUCAGUUAAAAAGCCUAGUGCAUCAUACUUCACUCUGAAGAUUGAGCCCACAGAACUGGAGGACUCAGCCGUGUACUUCUGUGCCAGCAGUAUAGCCACAGCCCUACAGAGACACCUCCAGCCUGUGCACAAAGUCAGAUGUCUUCUUCUCUCUCAAAGAGCAGCACCUCUUUCCUGA